rnacentral:rRNA from 1 species
GACGAACGCUGGCGGCGUGCUUAACACAUGCAAGUCGAACGGAAAGGCCCUGCCUUUGUGGGGUGCUCGAGUGGCGAACGGGUGAGUAACACGUGAGUAACCUGCCCUUGACUUUGGGAUAACUUCAGGAAACUGGGGCUAAUACCGGAUAGGAGCUCCUGCUGCAUGGUGGGGGUUGGAAAGUUUCGGCGGUUGGGGAUGGACUCGCGGCUUAUCAGCUUGUUGGUGGGGUAGUGGCUUACCAAGGCUUUGACGGGUAGCCGGCCUGAGAGGGUGACCGGCCACAUUGGGACUGAGAUACGGCCCAGACUCCUACGGGAGGCAGCAGUGGGGAAUAUUGCACAAUGGGCGGAAGCCUGAUGCAGCAACGCCACGUGCGGGAUGACGGCCUUCGGGUUGUAAACCGCUUUCGCCUGUGACGAAGCGUGAGUGACGGUAAUGGGUAAAGAAGCACCGGCUAACUACGUG